UACGGAGGGUGCGAGCGUUGUCCGGAAUUAUUGGGCGUAAAGGGCGCGUAGGCGGUGCGGUAAGUCACCUGUGAAAUCUCCUGGCUCAACUGGGAGCUUGCAGGCGAAACUGCCGUGCUGGAGUGUGGGAGAGGUGCGUGGAAUUCCCGGUGUAGCGGUGAAAUGCGUAGAUAUCGAGAGGAACACCAGUGGCGAAGGCGAGUCCCUGGACAACACCUGACACUGAGGCACGAAAGCUAGGGGAGCAAACAGG
rnacentral:rRNA from 1 species